AUGCCCCGGAGCUUGCUGCAGGCUUCUGUUGACUCGUCUCCUGGCCUGCAGCCGUCCCUGCCUGAGCCUGCCUCCCUGGACUGACCCCUGAAGAAGCUGGGUCUUUUGGGGAAGAGCCAAUACUGAGGAGGAAUCUUUCCAGGGCUGAACAGUUUCAGACAGGAAGAAGGGAUGGAGCUCACAGGAGGAAGCCUUGAAAUAAAGCUAUGACAGCAGAUUACCUGUAGUUACCGGGAAAAUGUCGUUUACCUGCGAGGGCUGUAAAAUAAUUGUCCCAACAACUGUACGCAGCUUGGAAGCAAAAACAAACAUCGAAUGUGACACAAACAGAGCAGUUUCUGACAGGAUUAUGCCAGCCAAGCAGGCUUGAUGUCUGUUUCUAGGUGUGGGUCCCUGUUCUUGCCCGACCCUGGGGUGUGGGGGCGACAGUGAUGUGAGCUCCGCUUUUCUGAAUCCGGGCGUCCUUGUUUGCCUGUGGUAUUGUGUUGGGAGAACCAUGCAUGCCAGGGAGCUUUCCUCUCAGGCAAGCACCCGCAGCAAGGGGCCUCCAGCCUGCCUGAGCUCUGGUGUGUUUAGUGGGUUAACAACGCCCACCUGCUCCCAAUCCUAAGGCAGCUGCUUCUGCUCAGACCCCAGAGCCUGGUGGCACACACGGGCUCUGGAGUGACUGACCCCCCCGUCACAUCGCAGCUCUGGGACCCUCAGCAAGUUGCGCAAGCUGUCUGUAUUUUAGUCUCCGCCUUGGUUAAAUGGGAAUAGUCACAGGAGUCCCCACGCCACGGAGCUGCUCUGCUGAUUCGAGGAGACAGUCCACGCGCCUGGCGCAAACCAGCAGCUUGACACGUGCGAGUCUGUUCUGUCAUAACCACAAUACUCAGCACAAACCAGAACCAAGCAGCUGGCAACUGAGCAGAAGGCAGAGUUCCAGUCGGAAGUUACAACAGGGUCAGCUGGCACAUGGCUUUUGCCCUUUGCUCUUCAUCUUAUGGCCUUGAGGAUAAAACUUUAUGUGCUGUAGAUGGCGAAGCAAGAAGAGUGGACGAGCCUGGUUCCUUGAGCAGCAGCGCCAGCCCCAGCCUCUCUAUCCACGGACUGCUUCUUAAGAAAACCAGCCAGCUGCAGACAAAGGAUCAGAUGGAGGUAUACGGUAAUACGAACUCGGUUCUAGUAAUAAAAGGCAUAUGUCAUGUCUUUACUUUCUCUUACACAACCCAAGAGAUCUAUUUUGCAAUUAGGUGAGGGUGCUGCAAAGACUUCCAAAGUCAGGAAAUGUUGACUUCUAGCUGAUAAAGCUUAUUUUAUUGAUGCUGCACAGGAGAGAGCUUCACGUAGCCUGAAGAGCAAGGAGCUGGACAGCUAAAGACUCGGGUUGCAAGGUUGGGGGUCACAUCCUGGCUCUGCUGUUUAUGAGCCUUGUCCUAGGUUGGCUUCCCCGGAAAGCAGACGCUGAGACUAGGAUCUGAGUGCAAGCACUUAUGUGGGAAGAGAAAUAGGCUAGGGAAGAAAGCCAACACAAAGGUUAUUUUCCUCAUUUUUUAUAUUGUAGUAAAAUGUAUGUAACAUAAAAUUUACCAUUUUAAUCCUUUUUGAGUGUACAAUUCAGUGGCAGUAAGUAUAUUCACAUUGUUGUGCAACCAUCACCACUAUCCAUUUCCUCAACUUUUUCUUUGUCCCACACUGAAACUCUGUACCUCUUGAACAAUAAUCCCGCAAUGCCCCCUCCCUCGACCCCUAGAAACCACUGUGCUACUUUCUGUCUCCAUGGUUUUGACUACUCUGGAUUCCCCCUCUAAGUGGAAUCAUAUAGUAUUUGUCCUUUUGUGUUUGAUUUAUUUUACUUAGCAUAAUGUCUGCAAGCUUCAACCAAGUUGUAGCACGUGUCAGCAUUUCCUUCCUUUUUAAGGCUGAACAAUAUUCCAUUGUAUGUAUAAACCACAUUGUGUUCAUCCAUCAAAGGACAUUUGGGUUGCUUCCUUGUUUUAGCUGGAAUAAUGCUUCUGUGAAUAUGGAUAUACAGAUAUCUGUUUGAGACUCUGC
rnacentral:lncRNA from 1 species